GACGUAGGGCGCGAGCGUUGUCCGGAUUUAUUGGGCGUAAAGAGCUCGUAGGCGGCUUGUCGCGUCGACUGUGAAAACCCGCAGCUCAACUGUGGGCUUGCAGCCGAUACGGGCAGGCUAGAGUUCGGUAGGGGAGACUGGAAUUCCUGGUGUAGCGGUGAAAUGCGCAGAUAUCGGGAGGAACACCUGAGGCGAAGGCGGGCUACUGGGCCGAUACUGACGCUGAUGCGCGAAAGCCAGGGGAGCGAACGGG
rnacentral:rRNA from 1 species